UUCAAGAGUACGUGAAACCGUUUAGGGGUAAACCUGARAAACCCGAAAGGUCGAAGGGAGAAAUUCAUUCGCGUUUCGACGUAGGCGUCGGACGGGGUCGUGCGACGGGACACGUUCUUCGGAGCGAGUUUCGCGCCAUUCGUCCUUCGAACCGGCGACGAACGCGUGCACUUUUCUCCUGGUAGGACGUCGCGAUCCGUCGGGUGUCGGUCUACGACUUGCGGUGGAGCCCGUUCGUCGUCUCGUACGUACGAACGGACCCGUUCGUUCUGGCCGACUCGCUCGACGGUAUACGUAAGGUCGGAGGCCGCUCGUUUUUUAGGAGCGUUCGACUCUUCGCAAGCGCGCCACGUGCGUCGGCACGCGGACCCAGUGCCGCGUUCGACCUCUGGCGACUGUUGGCGAAGGUGUUCUCGGACAGACCUCUUUUUUUUUCGAAAGACCGAUCGGCGACGCUAUAGCUUUGGGUACUUUCAGGACCCGUCUUGAAACACGGACCAAGGAGUCUAGCAUGUACGCGAGUCAUUGGGAAUCACUAAACCUAAAGGCGCAAUGAAAGUGAAGGUCUUCCUCGCGAAGACCGAGGGAAGACGGACGGUUAUGUCAAACCGCCCUAAAAAGUGGGACCGUCCUGCAUUCCCGGGGCGUCUCGUUCACAUCGCGUGAAGAGGCGCACCAAGAGCGUACACGCUGGGACCCGAAAGAUGGUGAACUAUGCCUGGUCAGGACGAAGUCAGGGGAAACCCUGAUGGAGGUCCGUAGCGAUUCU
rnacentral:rRNA from 1 species